AUGGACGUUAAGACGGCUUUCCUCAAUGGAGAAUUGAAGGAGGAAAUUUACAUGGAUCAGGCAGAUGGUUUUGUAGUACCUGGUCGGGAAGGAAAGGUGUGCAAGUUAUUAAAGUCUUUAUAUGGCCUUAAACAAGCUCCUAAGGAGUGGCAUGAGAAGUUCGAAAGAACAUUAACUGCUGUCGGCUUUGUAGUAAACGAUGGUGACAAGUGUGUGUACUAUCGCUAUGGUGGGGGCGAAGGAGUUAUUCUUUGUCUGUAUGUCGACGACAUAUUGAUCUUUGGAACCAAACUUGAUUUAAUCAAGGAGGUUAAGGAUUUCUUAUCUCGCUGUUUUGAGAUGAAGGAUCUAGGAGUAGCUGAUGUUAUCUUAAACAUCAAGCUGUUGAGAGAUGAGAAUGGUGGGAUCACACUGCUUCAGUCUCACUAUGUGAAAAAGGUCUUGAGUCGUUUUGGGUAUAGCGACUGCACACCUUCUCCAACUCCAUAUGAUGCUAGUGUGUUGCUUCGAAAGAAUCGAUGGAUUGCUAGAGAUCAACUGAGGUAUUCUCAGAUUAUUGGCUCGCUUAUGUAUUUGGCGAGUGCCACGAGGCCUGACAUCUCUUUUGCUGUGAGCAAGCUGAGUCGGUUUGUGUCAAAACUGGGAGCUGAUCAUUGGCAUGCGCUUGAGAGAGUUAUGCGCUAUUUGAAAGGCACCGCGAGCUAUGGGAUUCACUACACCGGGUAUCCAAGGGUACUGGAGGGUUACAGUGACUCAAACUGGAUUUCUGAUGCUGAUGAGAUAAAGGCCACAAGUGGUUAUGUUUUUACACUUGGUGGUGGCGCUAUUUCCUGGAAGUCUUGCAAGCAGACCAUCUUAACGAGGUCAACUAUGGAAGCAGAACUCACAGCAUUGGACACUGCCACUGUUGAAGCAGAGUGGCUUCAUGAACUCUUGAUGGACUUACCUAUGGUUGAAAAACCAAUACCCCCUAUCCUGAUGAACUGUGAUAAUCAAACUGUGAUAGUCAAGAUAAACAGUUCGAAGGACAAUAUGAAGUCCUCAAGACAUGUGAAGAGGAGACUAAAAUCUGUCAGAAAAUUGAGGAACUCCGGAGUUAUUACGUUGGAUUAUAUCCAAACGUCGAAAAACUUGGCAGAUCCCUUCACAAAGGGUCUAUCACGUAAUGUGAUAGAUAAUGCAUCGAUGGAGAUGGGUUUGAGACCCACC
rnacentral:rRNA from 1 species